rnacentral:rRNA from 1 species
AACGAGCGCAACCCUUAUCCUUUGUUGCCAGCGGUCCGGCCGGGAACUCAAAGGAGACUGCAGUGAUAAACUGGAGGAAGGUGGGGAUGACGUCAAGUCAUCAUGGCCCUUACGACCAGGGCUACACACGUACAAGGCGCAUACAAAGAGAAGCGACCUCGCGAGAGCAAGCGGACCUCAUAAAGUGCGUCGUAGUCCGGAUUGGAGUCUGCAACUCGACUCCAUGAAGUCGGAAUCGCUAGUAAUCGUGGAUCAGAAUGCCACGGUGAAUACGUUCCCGGGCCUUGUACACACCGCCCGUCACACCAUGGGAGUGGGUUGCAAAAGAAGUAGGUAGCUUAACCUUCGGGAGGGCGCUUACCACUUUGUGAUUCAUGACUGGGGUGAAGUCGUAACAAGGUAACCGUAGGGGAACCUGCGGUUGGAUCACCUCCUUACCUUAAAGAAGC